UUGGGGGGUGGAGGGGAAGGAGAGCAUUAAUGGAUGUGUUAUUAAUAUGUAAGAAUAUUCUAACCUAUACAGUAAGCGUAGAUUCAUGGACUUUAAGGUCAGAAGGGACCAUUAUGAUCAUCUAGUCCGACCUCCUGCACAACGCAGGACACAGAAUCUCACCCACCCACUCCUGCGAAAAACCUCUCACCUAUGUCUGAGCUAUUGAAGUCCUCAAAUCGUGGUUUACAGACUUCAAGGAGCAGAGAAUCCUCCAGCAAGUGACCCGUGCCUCAUGCUACAGAGGAAGGUGAAAAACCUCCAGGGCCUCUUCCAAUCUGCCCUGGAGGAAAAGACUUAUCUGGAUGAGGAAAUAAGAUUUGCGCAUGGAAGUUUGGGCACCGAUAUGAAUACUCAGGAUAGUGCCAUGACCCUAUAGGAGGGCGAACCACCAUGUGGAGAGGAUUCUUUUUCCUUUUCUUUACCCUUAAGGACUCUCUUGUUUUGGCGAUCAGCUCAGCUUUUGCAAUACAGUUUAAUGACUAAACACCCGAUCCUGAUCGCCACCAUCUCAGGAGUGGAGGAACCUGGACCAUCAAACGCAUUGGGCAUGCCAGAGACCAGGCUGGUCCUGUCUCCCACUACCAGGUCCCCAAGGAAGGGCGUAAAGGGACAAGGCCUGUCAAACAUAAAGGAAGAGGAGUCUUCUUUCUCCUGUGGAAGUGUGAGGUUUUGGGAAGAACACAGGGAGGCAGAUCUCGCUCCUCCCUAAUCACUGAUGUAGAAGACAGCUGUAACGUCAUCCGACAUUAUAAGGACCUGGUGAGAAAGGCCUCGCAUGUCUUCCAGACUGCUAGCAACUCCAGGAUAUCGAUGUGCAUCCUGGACUCUCAAGACAUCCAGGUACCUUGUGCUGUGCGGCUGUUCACGUGGGUUCCACAACCGAAUAGGUAUGCUUCU